rfam:Danio rerio chromosome 9, GRCz11 reference primary assembly.
CAAAUGGCUUUUUUUAAAGCUACUUAACAAAUAGUGCAUUUUCAUAU